UCAGAAGCCUGUGGUGCUCAAGGGGACAAUAGCAGCACCGUGCCCAAGAAGGUCCCAGAGAAGAACCAAGCUAAUCAUUUUGUAAUCCGAAGACUUCCUUGACCUCCUACAACCAGGCUCCAAGGAGUUUGUAUUUAGUAAACAUAUGAAUGUUUUCUGCCUGGUGGUCUGAAUGCUUUCCCUGCCCAUCCUGUCCCCUGUGCUUUGUCUCUCCUGGUAUCCCCCCAAUAAACCGUUCACGGUUCUG